AAAAUCCGCUGCUCAUAUAGCCUGAGAACUGACGGUGACCCCGUAUGGGGGAUGAUUCGGUGAUCCUAUGCUGCCUAGAAAAACCUCGACGCGAUGGUUCUAGCCGCCCGUACCCUAAACCGACUCAGGUGGUCAGGUAGAGAAUACUAAGGCGACGAGAUAAUCAUGGUUAAGGAACUCGGCAAAAUGCCCCCGUAACUUCGGGAGAAGGGGGGCCUGAGGCGUGUACCGGCUUGCCCGGGAAGCGUUUGAAGGCCGCAGAGACCAGGGGGAAGCGACUGUUUACUAAAAACACAGGUCCGUGCGAAGUCGCAAGACGAUGUAUACGGACUGACGCCUGCCCGGUGCUGGAAGGUUAAGAGGACUGGUCAGCUCUUCGGAGCGAAGCUGAGAAUUUAAGCCCCAGUAAACGGCGGUGGUAACUAUAACCAUCCUAAGGUAGCGAAAUUCCUUGUCGGGUAAGUUCCGACCUGCACGAAUGGCGUAACGACUUCCCCGCUGUCUCAACCGUGAACUCGGCGAAAUUGCACUACGAGUAAAGAUGCUCGUUACGCGCAGCAGGACGGAAAGACCCCGGGACCUUUACUAUAGCUUGGUAUUGGUGUUCGGUGCGGCUUGUGUAGGAUAGGUGGGAGACUGUGAAGCCGGCACGCCAGUGUCGGUGGAGUCAACGUUGAAAUACCACUCUGGUCGCUCUGGAUACCUAACUUCGGUCCGUGAUCCGGACCAGGGACAGUGCCUGGUGGGUAGUUUAACUGGGGCGGUUGCCUCCUAAAAUGUAACGGAGGCGCUCAAAGGUUCCCUCAGCCUGGUUGGCAAUCAGGUGUCGAGUGCAAGUGCACAAGGAGCUUGACUGUGAGACUGACAGGUCGAGCAGGGACGAAAGUCGGAACUAGUGAUCCGGCGGUGGCUUGUGGAAGCGCCGUCGCUCAACGGAUAAAAGGUACCCCGGGGAUAACAGGCUGAUCUUGCCCAAGAGUCCAUAUCGACGGCAUGGUUUGGCACCUCGAUGUCGGCUCGUCGCAUCCUGGGGCUGGAGUAGGUCCCAAGGGUUGGGCUGUUCGCCCAUUAAAGCGGUACGCGAGCUGGGUUUAGAACGUCGUGAGACAGUUCGGUCCCUAUCCGCUGCGCGCGCAGGAAACUUGAGAAGACCUGUCCCUAGUACGAGAGGACCGGGACGGACUAACCUCUGGUGUGCCAGUUGUUCCGCCGGGAGCAUGGCUGGUUGGCUACGUUGGGAAGAGAUAACCGCUGAAAGCAUCUAAGCGGGAAGCUUGCUUCAAGAUGAGGUUUCCACGCCCUUCGGGGUGAGAGGCUCCCAGUAGACCACUGGGUUGAUAGGCCGGAUGUGG
rnacentral:rRNA from 1 species